rnacentral:rRNA from 1 species
AGAGUUUGAUCUCUAGGCUCAGAUUGAACGCUGGCGGCAGGCCUAACACAUGCAAGUCGAACGGUAGCACAGAGAGCUUGCUCUCGGGUGACGAGUGGCGGACGGGUGAGUAAUGUCUGGGAAACUGCCUGAUGGAGGGGGAUAACUACUGGAAACGGUAGCUAAUACCGCAUAACGUCGCAAGACCAAAGAGGGGGACCUUCGGGCCUCUUGCCAUCGGAUGUGCCCAGAUGGGAUUAGCUUGUUGGUGAGGUAACGGCUCACCAAGGCGACGAUCCCUAGCUGGUCUGAGAGGAUGACCAGCCACACUGGAACUGAGACACGGUCCAGACUCCUACGGGAGGCAGCAGUGGGGAAUAUUGCACAAUGGGCGCGAGCCUGAUGCAGCCAUGCCGCGUGUAUGAAGAAGGCCUUCGGGUUGUAAAGUACUUUCAGCGAGGAGGAAGGCGGUAAGGUUAAUAACCUUACCGAUUGACGUUACUCGCAGAAGAAGCACCGGCUAACUCCGUGCCAGCAGCCGCGGUAAUACGGAGGGUGCAAGCGUUAAUCGGAAUUACUGGGCGUAAAGCGCACGCAGGCGGUCUGUCAAGUCGGAUGUGAAAUCCCCGGGCUCAACCUGGGAACUGCAUUCGAAACUGGCAGGCUAGAGUCUUGUAGAGGGGGGGUAGAAUUCCAGGUGUAGCGGUGAAAUGCGUAGAGAUCUGGAGGAAUACCGGUGGCGAAGGCGGCCCCCUGGACAAAGACUGACGCUCAGUGCGAAAGCGUGGGGAGCAACAGAUUAGAUACCCUGGUAGUCCACGCCGUAACGAUGUCGACUUGCAGGUGUGCCCUUGAGCGUGCCUGCGGAGCUACGCGUCAGUCCGACCGCUGGG